GAAAUGCGAUAAGUAAUGUGAAUUGCAGAAUUCAGUGAAUCAUCGAAUCUUUGAACGCACCUUGCGCUCCCCGGUAUUCCAGGGAGCACACCUGUUCGAGUGUCGUGAAAUUCUCAAGCUGGAUGUUUUUUUUUUUCAUCUCAGUUUGGUGUUGGGCUUUGCCGUGCUCCUUCAUUGGAACGGCUGGUCUUAAAAAUAUUAGCCGACUCUCAUGUGGGAUUGGUUCUACUCAGUGUGAUAAUAUUAUGAUUGUGACCGCUGAGGACAUCUUUUAUGGGAUGGCCAAGCUCUAUUUUGGGUUGCUUCUAAUCCUGGAUUUACAGAUUUUUGGAUCUGUUUUCCACUUACGAUUUUGGCCUCGAAUCAGGUGGGACUACCCGCUGAACUUAA
rnacentral:misc_RNA from 1 species